UCUUAAAAUAUUUGUAAUUUCUAUUUCACAAAUCACCAUUUUCUUUUAAAAAAUACUUCUCAGUGCUGAUGUAAGCCCUAAAUUUAGAGACAUGGGGAAAGAAUUUCUAUUCUUCUACCGUAAGAAUUACAGAAGAAGUUUCUGCCUUCAUUUCUCCUCUGGACCACAUUUCAGCCUGAAUUUAAACACUUUCUUACACAGAAUAGUUGGUGUACAUCAUUGAGACAGAUGGCCCUGGUUUCAAAUAUAGAAGACCUUCCUACACAAAACAGAGGUGCUGGCACAUGAUACGUGGGUGAAGGAUAUUCUGGAUACUUGCCUGGGAAUGUUGUACCCAAGAGGUGAAAUAGCAGGAUAAGAAAGAAAAAAAAGAAGAUAAAAAAGAAGAAGCUAAGAAGGAAGAGGGAAGAAGGAAACACCAAAGCAGCAGGCUCAGAAGUCAUGGUGGAACAUGUCAGUGACAGAAGGCAACGCAAAAAGCAUCACUUUCUGAGCAGAUGGGGAGUGCAUAUAUACCUUUACAUGGGGGUUCAGAUUACUGAUCACUAUUUCUGAAUACUAAAUGGUGGCAGAGCCCUUCAGACUCCUUCCACUUCCCACAUGAGUGGGAAAGGACACUUUGAGUUCUACCAGCAAGCAAGGUCAUGCCAAACCCUCAGUGGGUUUCCCCCCCACAACUGGACCACUUCAGGAUCCCUAACUGAAGGCUCUCCCAUCCAAGCAGCAAAUCCCGGCAGCCGUGUUCUUGCUCCCAGUCUUCCGCCCCUGUCGCCUGUCACAGCCGUGGGCUCUCGGCCUUUGUCUCCCUCCUGAAUAACUCCUCCUGCUUUCAGCCUGUGCUUAAUCCUCCAGGAAACCUCAUUCUCCAGAGAAGAAGAGUGCUUCUGUACAUAAUCUCCAGACAGCAGCUGUGACCCCAGCACCCAGAAAGGCGAUCAUUGUGCAGAACUGUGGUAGCAGGGGUGAACUUCCCCUCUCCCCCCCGCCACUCAUUUAAGGGCUGCUGGAAGCGCGCUGUCACUUUAUGCGUACACACUGCCAGCAGUGAUUUUCUCUGGCAGCUGUGGGGUACUUGUCCCUUCACCCUCAUUGCAGGCUACCCUCAGAAUCUGCACAACCAUCUAUUUUAUUAUUUUUUUAUUUUGCCUUUUAAGGGAUUGAACUUCCCACCUGCCAACAGAAGGAGCGCUUGUUUUUUGCAUUCGGUCCUCGAGGCUAUGGCAGUAUUACUGAAAAGUGACUUUGUCCAUUUUUAAUAUCCAAAAAUACAGAACAGCUGUGCUUUCUUGAAGUCCUUUUGUAUAAGAGUGGCUCUGAGACAAUACUAAAUUCAAGGCUGCCAAAGCUCAGACCUGAACGGCCUGAAAAAUUCCUUUUUCUUUUUUUAUACUAGCUCUCAAGAUACACUAUACUACCAGCAUGUCAGUAACACAACAGGUGUUAUCUUAAGGCAGAAAAAUUUGAACAAUGUAAUUCUUCAUGGCAGGCUUAUCAGCUUUUUAGUACACUCAGCUUUUAUUAUUCUGACACAAGGCAAACUUACGUAACAGCACAGUGCGUACUAAUUUAUGGGAUAACAACAUGGAUGUUGAGUUUGGAACACUGCACUUUUGUUUCAGACUGUGGAUAUUUCCCAUACUCCUAAGAAAGGCAUAUGCUGCGCAAACACUUUUAAAAGCAUGCAAGUGGAAUUCAAUAUAUUGAAAGAAGCUAAAGUACUCUGGAGCGAUUAACAAACACGUUUCAACAGAAUGGCACAAAAGGAUAAUUAAGAACUAAACCCACAGAGAUACCGAGACAACUAAAAUCUCUCCAAUUUCUUCUGCAAUUGAUCAGAAAAGUCCACUUGCCCACUGAGGGUAUACAGACAAGUGUAAAAGUGGCUCCAGAUCACUGCCAAGUGACUACAAAACUUCCAAUCUUCUAAUGCAAAUCCUUACUUUUGGAGGAUUUAAGGGUUCCUAUACGGAGAUAGUGAGGAUAUAUGUGGCCACAAAGCUGAACAAUAUCCCUUCUUUGACUCUUGCCUAAUGUUUCUUCUUCACAGGCAGAAGAGCACUGAAAGUCAUCUACCCAGAAUGCUGAUCUCUGGCAGAAUAAGAGUCAGAAGAAAAAUAGUAUUAGAAAGACAGAGCUGCCUGAUAUGGCAAAAAUACUGGGGGAAAAAUGAUGUGACUUAGUUUUACAAAAUUAGCCUGUUUGACUUAUCCUUCAUCCCAGAGGACAAAUACAAAACUCAAGGACAAAGAAAUUCCUUUCUCCUCUAGCUCAAUAGAAUUUCUCCAGACUCUGCCUAUGCAAUCCAAGCCAUCAUCUCCCCAGUGAGACAAAACAAAUCUGGUGAAAGGUAAAUGGUCACCAUUCAUCUUAGCAAAAUGGAUCACAGCAGAAUUAUUUACUUUCCUCUGGCUCUUCCCAAAGUCUCCUAUUUAUUCAUUGAAAUAUAAUUGAUAUCAAUGUACUCCACCAGAAAAGAAAAACAACUAAAAAUCACUCUCAGUGCCUUCUCAAAGGCUGAGAGAGAUUUCCAGGAGGGAUUUUACACUGAACUACUAUUUGAAUGCCUUUAAAACACACUUUCCCUUCCCUCAUUGGCUAGAAAUAUACUUAACAGAGGUACAUGCACACACACAUUCCCUCUAGCUAUGGUACACAUCUUCAGGACUAGUGGACUUAAUGAUGAAAGACACUUUGCUCCCACAGGCUGGAGAAAAGCUCUCAGCUGUGACUCCACACGUGAGCCAUUCCCACUCAUGCCUGCUUCCCUUCUCUUGAUAAAAACAAACACUUAGAAACUAUCUGCCAUGUUAGUGCUCACACACAGGUUUCCCUGAGUGUCUGAACAUUUAUACCACAGCCCAGCCCUUCUACAGAUGAGGUACCCCCAACCAAUCAACAUGCUGGGGACCCCAUCCCAUAGUGACAAAAGACUGCAGGCAGCAACGCGCCAUGAAAAUUCACGUAUUAUCAUGUACAAUCAGUGAGUAUCAGUGGUACUUCAGGCAGUUGGCAUUAGCAGUGCCUUCCUCAUCAAGUGCCUCACAGUGAGUAAGCAGCUCUGGGGCAGAUCUGUAAUCUCUGCAGAUGCUGUUUGCCUGUCUUCAUCAUGUCUACACAAAUGAACAUAUGGCCUUCUAGCACAAGGCCAGCUUACACAGUCAUUAAUUAGAUAUAAUUUCAGCCUGUUUGAUGUAUCUGAUACAAAAAUCUGUCCUCUGGCAGGAAUGCCCUUGUGGUAUAGAAACUUUGUCUCUUUGUGAAUUGACUCAUCUGAUGAGGAAAAGCUACAUUUUGUCAGUGACUAGGGAAAUACCUGUUUAUUACAAACGCAGGUACAGCAGUCUAAACACCUGAACUUGACAAUGGUUUCUUCUUAUUCUCCCUACCUCUCACUACAAGUAGAAGAUGGGCACUCCCAUCUUUCUUUCAAGCAUGUGAUACCCAAGAUAUUCUCCAAAAGCACCACUACAGCUCAGCAAGGCAUUACAAUGCCAGUAAUUCAGUCCUGCUGCCAGCUCAGAGAGCUAGUCAUAAAACUCCUGGGAAAGUACAUGGAAGCAAUCAUCCUAUACCUAAAUACACCUCAUGGCUCUAUGUACAUAAGUAGACUUUGUGAAUUGUUGCACUUCACUCAUUUUUAAGUGAAUAAUCAAGAAAGAGGAUUAAUUAAGGCAGAAGACUCAGAAAAGUUGGUAUGAAAAAAAUACAUUUUUGGUAAAAGGUGGUAAUUUUUUGUUCAGAUCUUGCUGCACUGCUUCAUUUUCUCACACAGCAGCACAAAACAACACCAGGCAUGUAUACAGCCCCAGACAUGGGGGCUGCUACUCAGAAGUAACCAGAGCACAUGAUGGCCCAAAGAACUUUGAGCUAUGCUCUUUUCCUUCAUCACGCACAGCACUGUGCAGAAGUUUGCAAUGCAGCACUGUUUGCAGAAAGCAUAACAAAUUCAAGAAGUUUGUAAGAACUUCCCAAUAACACGUGAGAUGCAAACUGCCAGUUUAUGAGGAGAAAGACCUGACUUACAGACACAGCCUGGAGUUAGUGGGGGAGAGAACCUUCUGUGUGAAAUGUGAGGAAUCUUCAGCAAAGCAAAGCAGAUACUUCACAGAAAGAAGCGAGGAUUUAACAACAACAGAAAAAGCACUUGAGGGAUAGCAUGAAUGAUUUGUCUUUGAUGGUAUUGAACUAUUCCUGAAUUACUGUAAAAUAAUUUUUAAAUUUCUCUUACUAGUUCUUGAUUAUACACUGGGUUACAGAACAAAAUACCCAAUAAUAGUGGCCUUUCAAAAUAUGGUAAUGGCUAGAGGUGCUUUUCUGUGGAAACAGAUAGCAAGAUCUUUCCUUCGGAAGCUAGCUGGUUCACUGGUUUCCUGUUGAACCCUAUAAUGUUUGCACAUGCUUAUUUUUGGCUGAGUAAAUAAAUGUACUUGAAAGUACAUUGAUCCCCACUUUCAUGUGAACCUUGGUGGCUUUCCUGAAUUUUUUUCCUAGAGAUACAAGUCCCUCACAGAACUGAACAGUCACAAAUUAUAUAUAAAUAUGAUUAUUAUGAUAGAAAAUUAAUCAUAAUUUCUCUGCAGUGUUUCAUUGCAAUGGAUUAUGUUCUAAGACUGACUUCCAGCAGAUUCUCAGUACUAGUAGGAAAGUAACAUUUUAAAUAUCUAUGCUAUAUGAACAAUGCUGUAAUUAUGCAGUAUAUUCAUCCUUUCUCAGUUCUUGAUUUCCAGUUGAUUAGAAUUAAUUUAGCAGUCACUAUUUUAGUGUAAUUCUUCACUAUCAGCUUGUGAAGUUGGGAGUGGCUGACAGUCAUCUCUCUUGACAAGCACUGGUAUGUUCCUCAUGCCUCUCUCCAGAUGAAGCACCUUCACGGAAAAGCAAGACAGAGCUCAGUGGUGUCCAUACAGUUUAGGGUUCCUUACUGUUACCCAUUUUAUGUCCACAGACUGCAUCACUAUUUCUAUAAACUGAGGAAUUUCAGGUUUGUUUGAUGUCUUUGCCAUCCCUAUCCCUUUCUCAUAAGAAAGUUGAGAAGAGGGAUGACAAGAAGCUGGUAAUGUGGAAGGCUCUAGAGAAAGACUUGGCACCUUGAGACCUCAGCCUGUCCUAACAGGCAGGAGACAAACCCUUGCACCACCCCAACACGUGGUGAUACAGUGCUAUAUCAGGCCAGGGUGUCACAAGAUAGGUAGGGGGACAAGACCAACUGCAGCAUCGGAAGGUGACUUUCUUACUGGAAUUUAACUGCAGAUAGUAUGUCCACAUAAAGACCCACCAAGCAAGACUGGUGUCUAGGUGCUAAUUCCAAACCCCAAAGGACACAUGCUUAAGUGGUACAGGAAGAGUCAAGAUGAAAAUGAAAAGGUUUGGAGUUUCCCUCUCAACAUUUCCAUGGUCUACAUUUUGCAGCUCAAGCUGUGUGAACCUGCCAUGAGGGGAGUAAACCCCCAGGAGAUUGGGUUUGAGAAAAGUGGAUACCUAAAUCAGCAGGAAGUUAACAUCCAUUUGGGUGUAAAGCACAACAUUCAGAUCUGACACUUGUGAAAGGGCAGUAGCCCCAAACUGGCACAGUCUAAGCAAAGAGAAGAAAGUCUUGCUGGACCAAAGAUAUGUAAAAGCAGACAAAUUUCCCAUCUCUAACCUUGGUGAGUCCAGUAGAAGCUACUCUCAAUCAAUGAUGUAUAACAGAUUCAAACAAGUCAGAACUGUCAGCAAAAAGUACCACAUGAUUUAGUGAUCUGCUUCUAAAAGUUACCUGAAGAGUGAAACUUAACUGCACGUAAAAGCCUCCAAGACCUGGUCUUACCCUCUCCACAGGGCACUGAUCUGGAUUUUUGUCCUGUAAUAUCUUUUGUUUCCUCUGGUGCCCAAACAAAUGUUCUGCUAGAACAGAUUAUAAUGUGCAUCAUCCCUUCCUGUGGUGAAAAGACUAUGAAGCAAGCCCACAUUUCCUUCCACUGCCAAAAUCACUUAGACAUUCUGGCAACGCAGGACACAUUCUUUAUGUUAUCUGGCAGCUAGUGUCUGACAGCUGUUCAGCAGCCUAUCUGAAAAAAACCUGAUGGCCUCACUCCAGUUCCUGACAGACUUAUUCCAGAUCACAAAGCUUCCAGAUUAUUAUAGCCCACAAGGCUUCAUCCAGCGAGUCCUCCAUCAUCUCACUGUCUUCUACCUUUCCAACAAGGCUAUGACAUUUCCUCUGGAGAAAGACAGCUAAUCUGGUAUCUUGAAAGAAUUGGCCAGAUGAGGAACCUAAUCUAUGGCUUAGUUCUUUCAUAGAUGAAUCAUCAGCAUAAUAAAGAAUAUUACUUAUUA